rnacentral:rRNA from 1 species
UACAGAGGUCCCGAGCGUUGUUCGGAUUCACUGGGCGUAAAGGGUGCGUAGGUGGCUGGGAAAGUUUGAUGUGAAAGCUCAGGGCUUAACCCUGAAAUGGCAUUGAAUACUGCCUGGCUGGAGGUUUGGAGGGGGACUGGAAUUCUUGGUGUAGCAGUGAAAUGCGUAGAUAUCAAGAGGAACACCAGUGGCGAAGGCGAGUCCCUGGACAACACCUGACACUGAGGCACGAAAGCCGGGGGAGCAAACGGG